GAUGAACGCUGGCGGCGUGCCUAAUACAUGCAAGUCGAGCGAACAGAUAAGGAGCUUGCUCCUUUGACGUUAGCGGCGGACGGGUGAGUAACACGUGGGUAACCUAUCUAUAAGACUGGAAUAACUCCGGGAAACCGGGACUAAUGCCGGAUAACAUGUUGAACCGCAUGGUUCUACAGUGAAAGGCGGCUUUGCUGUCACUUAUAGAUGGACCCGCGCCGUAUUAGCUAGUUGGUGAGGUAACGGCUCACCAAGGCAACGAUACGUAGCCGACCUGAGAGGGUGAUCGGCCACACUGGAACUGAGACACGGUCCAGACUCCUACGGGAGGCAGCAGUAGGGAAUCUUCCGCAAUGGGCGAAAGCCUGACGGAGCAACGCCGCGUGAGUGAUGAAGGUCUUCGGAUCGUAAAACUCUGUUAUUAGGGAAGAACAAAUGCGUAAGUAACUGUGCGCGUCUUGACGGUACCUAAUCAGAAAGCCACGGCUAACUACGUG
rnacentral:rRNA from 1 species